rfam:Dipodomys ordii contig_49641, whole genome shotgun sequence.
CAGUUGAGGGAAAUGAGGCUACAAAAUGUCACCUCACUGAUGGUUAAGGUUGAGUCAGUUGGUUUGUUGGGUUCGGUAAUGUCUCUUCCUCCAUCACUGAUUGUUCCAUGUGUGUCCAACUCAAAGCUCUGCACUUAACCAUUUUGUUUAAAGGAUGAUCUUCCCAAGAUGAGAAAACCAAUCUUUAGACAAGGGUAUACAAGUAGCUGUACUGCAUUGAUAGGGUCUCCAUUAAAGUUAUCAAAGCCCAGUUGUAGGAAUGAACCUAAAGGAUCUGUAAGACUGGCUCCAA